CCAGAGCACGUUUCUCUCCCAUCCCGGAAUGCUUUGUGGACUAGCCAGACCCUCCUCUGCAGCGCUGUAGAGGAAGGUCUGGCAAAGCGAAACUAGUGUUCAUGUAAAUGGGUAUUAACAGUAUUAUUAUGUACACACUGUGAUGUACGACCUCAGUACUUCACAUGCCAAAAUCUUUGCAAUGUAUUAACCUUUUUAUUGGGUAUAGAUAUUGGGAAAUAUAACUCUUACACUGGUGUUACCUUUGUGACAACUCAAUGGGUGCAUUUAAUUAUCUGAUAACCUCACUUUACAAGCUCGUAUACAACAAAGCCUUAACAGCAACUUGGUCUGUCUGUGAAACAACUUGUGUGAUGUCGUUUUAUCAUUUUCUGGACAAGCUUUCUUACACUUUACACUUUCUUCCUGUUUUUCUUCAGCCAUACCAGCAUACUGAAACACACACACACACACACACACACACACACACACACACACACACACACAGUAGUGUAGCAGCUUGUUUCCUGUUUCAUCUUUCACCCAGUAUCAGGUUUAGAUUGGGUCUUAGACCCAGUGAGCAUUGCCAAGGUGCCAAUGUACUGUUCUGACUGACAUUGACUCACUGCUGUUACCUCUCUACGGCUAUUACAGUACUUUCUUUUUACACUUGCUGUACUGUGUGCACUGCAUCGUAUGUCACGUACAGACUUGGGCCAAUUAGUAAUUGCAAAAACCUCUAAUUCUAACAUCUAAUUCAUAAUGCAUUGCAGUGAGUAUCAAGACAAUUAAGAAAACUAUAUAGCAUCUUUAAUAUAAAAAAAUAUGUACAAUUAAUUGUCUUAAUGUUACUAAACUGAUCCAUAUGGCGCUGAUAUAACAUAAAACAAAGCAUAUAAAGAAUUUGUAAAUACUACUUGGUCCAAAUGUAAGAUGUACCGCUAUAAAAUGGCUCUUCUUUUUUUUUUUUUACCAAUCCGCUCUAAAUAUGUAUAGUUAAGGUUGUCACGUUUAAGAUUCCCGUCUGGUAUGGUCGAGGCUGUGAACUGUACACGGUGCUAACAGAAGCCCCACGUCUUCCCGGAGCCAUAACCUGAGCUUUAUGAUUCCACCAACCCAGCCAACACACAGUGUAUUCUUUAUACAAUGUAUUCUAUAAGACUAUCACAGAUAUAUUGACAAAUGUGUCGAAAACAAUUCUAUAACAAUUUCUUACAAAGUUAAGUCACUGGCCAAGUUGUAAGAAAGUAGACAUAUUCAUAUCUAUCUAUGUUAAUAAGUAAAUGAAUGUCUUAACUAUAGCACUCUAUUGGCUUUGCUGAAACUUCCACUAUAUAUAAGCUGUGAUAUUGUCUAAAGUACAAACUGUUUGUCACUGUGUUUGACUUCUCUCCUGUCAUGGGGAAUCAAAAACUAUCUCUCAGCAGUUACUAAGAAUGAACCAUGUACUCAGAACACCACUGUAUACUACCUAAAACCGGCUGCCUUGUAUUUCAAUACCUCUCAGAAUCAGAACUGAUACAGGGUCACUGAGCCAUACUGGUUUCACUAACAAGUACAAAUGUGUACUGUAUGUGUUUAAUACAGGUUUUCAUGCCAGAGUGAUUAUUAUAUCUGAUUCACUGUAAUUAUUAUCGUAUUAAAAAGACGUUUACUGUGACGGUUUAAAGAGAUUUUUUUUAGGCCCACCUGGUAUUAUAUAUACAGUACAGUAGCUUCUAUCAUGAGGUCGGACACAAAAAAUGAAAAAGAAAAAGUUAUCUGUUUUUUACCCCCUUAAAGGGCCAUGCAUGUUCAAAAGUAAGCACUGUGUUCAAUUAACUAAUCCUGUGGUGUAGUUUCACCCCAAAUGUAACUGUGUGUCCAAUAGUAUAAUCUCCAUCUUCACAUAUAGAGUAGAUUGUUAUCCCAGUGCUAUAUCUUUUGGUGGGUUUGGGUCUAGUGCUGCUAUUGAUGAGAGAAGUUUAAAUGCUGUUUUUUUUUUUCUGUAUUUUGGUCAUUUGUUUUUGAGUGUGAUCAGCACAGAGACUAAUGCACCGUGUGAGAAAAUGAGCAUGGCUACUGUGGAGAAAACAAUCUCACUACAAGGUCAGUUUAGUGUUUUAGUUUUUAGUGGAUCUGGAGCUUAUGUUUAUACUCCCAGUUUUCUCUGAAUACUUUAAACAUUUCUUGUCCAUGUUUGCUUUAAAAAGCUGAAAAUUCAUUCUUGACCAGACAGUUUAAAAAUAUGUCAAAACAAAUUCACUUAUAAAAGCUGUUUUUGGGGCUUUCAAUCAUAUCACAUGGAAAUGUCCAUUCUUUCUUUGGCAACAGUAGCUACUCGUAGCAGCAGAUAGCUACAGUACAUGCUAGCUACCUUUAAUGUCUUAAGGUAAAGUAAUCAUAUGCUUAAGUAUCAUAGAAUUAUUAAAUGGACCCCUUCAAAUGAAGCCUAUGGUGUCCAAAAUGAAUACAUGUACUGGUGAGUUAAUAAGAUGUUUGCCAUCUGAAUUUUUGAACGUACAUUUCUGUUCUGACAACCAACCUCUGAGCACUGUGAACAAUAAAAUAAAUCUUUUUCAAUUAACACCCAA